CCUACGGGGCGCAGCAGUAGGGAAUCUUCCACAAUGGACGAAAGUCUGAUGGAGCAACGCCGCGUGAGUGAAGAAGGGUUUCGGCUCGUAAAGCUCUGUUGGUAGUGAAGAAAGAUAGAGGUAGUAACUGGCCUUUAUUUGACGGUAAUUACUUAGAAAGUCACGGCUAACUACGUGCCAGCAGCCGCGGUAAUACGUAGGUGGCAAGCGUUGUCCGGAUUUAUUGGGCGUAAAGCGAGUGCGGGCGGGUCAAUAAGUCUGAUGUGAAAGCCUUCGGCUCAACCGGGGGAUUGCAUCAGAAACUG
rnacentral:rRNA from 1 species